UGGGGAUAUGGCGAAAUGGUAGACGCAGCGGACUCAAAAUCCGUUGGUUUUUCAAGACCGUGAGGGUUCGACUCCCUCUAUCCCCAAC
rnacentral:tRNA from 1 species